rnacentral:rRNA from 1 species
GACGAACCGUGCGAACGUUAUUCGGAAUCACUGGGCUUAAAGCGCGUGUAGGCGGGUCGGAACGUCGGUCGCUGAAAUCCCCCGGCUUAACCGGGGAACGGGCGCCGAAACGGCCGGCCUGGAGGGACGUAGGGGGAGCUGGAACUUCCGGUGGAGCGGUGAAAUGCGUUGAGAUCGGAAGGAACGCCCGUGGCGAAAGCGAGCUCCUGGACGUUUUCUGACGCUGAGACGCGAAAGCCAGGGGAGCGAACGGG